rnacentral:rRNA from 1 species
AUGUACGGCCAUACCAUUUUGAAAUUACAGGUUUUUGUUCAAUCACCUAAGUCAAGCAAUGUCAGGCAUGGUUAGUACUUAGAUGAGUGACCGCUUGGGAACACCAUGUGGUGUAGGUA